UUCCAGACUCCUACGGGAGGCAGCAGUGGGGGAUAUUGCACAAUGGGGGAAACCCUGAUGCAGCGACGCCGCGUGAGCGAUGAAGUAUUUCGGUAUGUAAAGCUCUAUCAGCAGGGAAGAAGAUGACGGUACCUGACUAAGAAGCCCCGGCUAACUACGUGCCAGCAGCCGCGGUAAUACGUAGGGGGCAAGCGUUAUCCGGAUUUACUGGGCGUAAAGGGAGCGUAGACGGCGAUGCAAGCCAGAUGUGAAAGCCCGGGGCUCAACCCCGGGACUGCAUUUGGAACUGUGUGGCUGGAGUGUCGGAGAGGCAGGCGGAAUUCCUAGUGUAGCGGUGAAAUGCGUAGAUAUUAGGAGGAACACCAGUGGCGAAGGCGGCCUGCUGGACGAUGACUGACGUUGAGGCUCGAAAGCGUGGGGAGCAAACAGGAUUAGAUACCCUUGUAU
rnacentral:rRNA from 1 species